rnacentral:rRNA from 1 species
GAGUGGCGAACGGGUGAGUAACACGUGGGUAAUCUGCCCUGCACUUCGGGAUAAGCCUGGGAAACCGGGUCUAAUACCGGAUAUGAGCUCCUGCCGCAUGGUGGGGGUUGGAAAGUUUUUCGGUGCAGGAUGAGUCCGCGGCCUAUCAGCUUGUUGGUGGGGUAAUGGCCUACCAAGGCGACGACGGGUAGCCGGCCUGAGAGGGUGAUCGGCCACACUGGGACUGAGACACGGCCCAGACUCCUACGGGAGGCAGCAGUGGGGAAUAUUGCACAAUGGGCGGAAGCCUGAUGCAGCGACGCCGCGUGGGGGAUGACGGUCUUCGGAUUGUAAACUCCUUUCAGUAGGGACGAAGCGAAAGUGACGGUACCUGCAGAAGAAGCACCGGCCAACUACGUGCCAGCAGCCGCGGUAAUACGUAGGGUGCAAGCGUUGUCCGGAAUUACUGGGCGUAAAGAGCUCGUAGGCGGUUUGUCACGUCGUCUGUGAAAUCCUCCAGCUCAACUGGGGGCGUGCAGGCGAUACGGGCAGACUUGAGUACUACAGGGGAGACUGGAAUUCCUGGUGUAGCGGUGAAAUGCGCAGAUAUCAGGAGGAACACCGGUGGCGAAGGCGGGUCUCUGGGUAGUAACUGACGCUGAGGAGCGAAAGCAUGGGGAGCAAACAGGAUUAGAUACCCUGGUAGUCCAUGCCGUAAACGGUGGGCGCUAGGUGUGGGGUCCUUCCACGGAUUCCGUGCCGUAGCUAACG